rnacentral:rRNA from 1 species
CGCGUAGGCGGCCUUCUAAGUCGGACGUGAAAUCCCCAGGCUUAACUUGGGAACUGCGUCCGAUACUGGAGGGCUUGAGUGCGGGAGAGGGAUGUGGAAUUCCAGGUGUAGCGGUGAAAUGCGUAGAUAUCUGGAGGAACACCGGUGGCGAAGGCGGCAUCCUGGACCGACACUGACGCUGAGGCGCGAAAGCCAGGGGAGCAAACG